rnacentral:tRNA from 1 species
CAUAGAAUGACAGAUAAAUGUGCAAGGUUUAAGCUCUUGAAAUGGAAGACUUAUAAAUCUCCUUCUAUGA